AUGCAGAUUUAAUCGCGAGGCAGUGCUCUCAGUACUUAAGAACAUGCACAGUGCACAGUGAAUGAAAAUUUUUCACACAUGGUUUCUCCCUCCACAAAGAAAAUUUCCUAUACUUUUUUGUUGUUGUUCUUGAUUUUUCAGCUCAACAAAAGAAUGGAGAUCUGGCUUUGGAAAGUAAGCGCUUGGAAAGAAGCCACAGAUGUCAACAAGCCUAGGCCUGCUUUCUCAUCCACAAAGCAAUGAAUUUAUUUUCUUUAACUUUGUGCUAAGCAAUAUGUGUGGAGAAACAGACCCUGGGUUCGUGUGAAAUAGGAACUGAAAUGGAUUGCUAAUCAGCAUUGUGAGUUAUGCUCAGGGAUACUCUGAGUGUAUUUUACUGACCCCAAGGAGAAAACAACAACAAAAAUGUACAUCUAAGAGAGCUGGUGGAUGAACAUAGGUGUGGGCAGCCCUUCAAUGUCGGUGGACCAAGACUGGUCCGACAAAAUGCCUCCUUCAAGUGUUUGCCUCAAAACAGAAUGUUUCAGGAGACAAAGACAUGUUCUCCCUCUUGGAGAAGAGUGGGAAUCAGAGGGCAACUGGGAAACUCAGCAAAGAAAACCCUAAAAGGUUAUCUCCUCUCUGCUUAAUCAUUCCCUGGUGACUCAGAUGGCAAACAAUCUGCCUGCAAUGCAAGAGACCCAGGUUUGAUCCCUGGGGCAGGAAGAUCCCCCUGGAGAGGGGAAUGGCUACCCGCAGUGAACCAUCAUGUUGUGCUUAAAUUUCAAACAUUUCACAUAGUUUUUCAGUCCUGAGGGCUUAUAUUAUUGAAAUAAUCAAAUUCUUUAAAUGAAAGAAAAUUUUAUCACAGUGCUUCCUUUUUUUGUGACAAAAAAGAAAAUAAACUAAAUUUGUAAAAUUAC
rnacentral:lncRNA from 1 species